rnacentral:tRNA from 1 species
GGGCAGUUAGCUCAGUGGUAGAGCACUACAUUGACAUUGUAGGGGUCACAAGUUCGAACCUUGUACCGCCCACCA